UGUAAGUGUGAUAUUUAACAAAAUAACAGGUUCUGUGUCCGUUUUCAAUUAGUUUUGCUAGGAAUUUAGCGUUUAAUUGGUUAAUUUCGUCGUUUUUUCAUCAAGCGCAACUUUUACCGUUUUCUCCGUUACCGUUUUUACAGUUCUAACUAGCGCAGCCUAAAAGUGAUGCAUUUCGUUAAUUUAUGCUUAUUUCGUGCCUAAAUAGUUAUCAAAAUGCAAUAUUAAGUGUCGUUAAUUGCUAUCCUUGUGCAAUGCAAUGAAUUGCGCAGUUUAUUUCGUUCAACGGUAAAUUUCGUGGCUCAUGUGCGUGGGUGCGCCGCUGGACAAUUGCGCGUGUGUGUGUGUGCGUGUAUGCGUGUGUAAGAAGAGCAAGUAAAUUAGGCAGCAGUGUUUUUGCCAAUGCGUGAUUGCUCUUUUUAAUUUUUUUUUUGUUUUUUUUUUGGUGUAUUAAAUUUAAUCUAAAAUUAAAUUGUAAAGCUUAUUGAAAUAUUUAUGUGCAUAAUAUCGUUGCUUCAAAAUAGCAUGAGCGCAGGAUCAAUUUCUUUAAAGCGAACUUCGAUAUAUCAAUACUUAGAAAGUUUUAGUGGGCAUUCUUUGCUGGAGCGAAGAAACUGCGCCACAAGACAAAACGGGGUUAUUAUCUCCCCACUGUGCCGCUGCCACGCCCCCAGUGCAACGCCCUAGUCUGGGCAUAUAUAGUCAUUCAUCUAUUUUCCACCAGGUACUCAGAUGCUGCCUUGGCUGCUGUUGCCGUUGUCAUUGUCGGCGAUCAUAUCAAAGCGGCGCAAAUUUCCUGCCGGCAUACAGAUAAGCAAGAGAGUGUAGGAGUUCGGGAGCUAAAUACAAAAAAAGGACUGCCAAAGGCACCAAAAAACUGAAGGCAAGGGGAGCUUGGCGACAGUGGAAAGCAGAAGGCUCCGAUUCUGACCAAUUCCAGGCGACAUAAACUGGCGUCUAUCAUAUUGUUGUCUCCAUACGCUACGAUACAUGAAGAAUCCCUCACAUUUUGGACCAACAACGCUUUUCUGACCGUGUGUCUGCGGACAACCGCUUAGAUGGAGAGCCGGACAAACGGAUGCUUGAAAGGAUGGAUGACUGGGGAAUUGGAUUCUCCGAUUGUUGUUGCUGCGAGCGGACGGAAGCUAUCGGCCUGGCGGAAGUGAACGGCCGCCGUUGGCGUUUUGGCCACGUGAUCGGAAGGAAGCGCAACUUGCGAAUUGAAACAUCCGAUGCAGACGACAAGGACAUCGAGAUGUCUCGAUGUCAGCAGCAGCGUACUUCGUACUUCGUCCUUCUUCCUGCAUGUCCUCGAGUGUCCUCGGGCAAAAGUGACACCAAAUUGUCGGCUAAUCUGUCGAUGACUUUCACCCUCGAAAGCGAAAACACCAAAAAACACCCAACCCCUCGAACCGUCAGAUGGGAAAUUUAAUUUGCACCCAACAACGAUGAAGCAACUGCUCUGAAUACAAAUAUAUGCCACUUUUUUUUCUAAUUAAAUAUUUGUAAACUGAAUUAGGGUAAGCCGUAAUCUGCAAUUCGAAAGUUUAUCUGGGAUAUAUUCAUGAAAUUAUAUUAAGCGUAUCGC
ensembl:ncRNA lncRNA:CR32773 long non-coding RNA:CR32773